rnacentral:tRNA from 1 species
GGGAAGGUGGCUCAGUGGUAGAGUGCUUGCCUUGCAUGCAUGAGACCCUGGGUUCGAUUCCU